UGCAGAAUCCCGUGAACCAUCGAGUCUUUGAACGCAAGUUGCGCCCGAAGCCACUAGGCUGAGGGCACGUCUGCCUGGGCGUCACAC
rnacentral:rRNA from 1 species